rnacentral:rRNA from 1 species
AUUGAACGCUGGCGGCAGGCCUAACACAUGCAAGUCGAACGAGUGGCGGACGGGUGAGUAAUGACUGGGCAACUGCCUGAUGGAGGGGGAUAACUACUGGACACGGUAGCUAAUACCGCCUUCCUUCGGCUGUGCCGAGUUGGGUUUAGCUAGUAGGUGGGGUAAAGGCUCACCUAGGCGACGAUCCGUAGCUGGUCUGAGAGGAUGACCAGCCACACUGGAACUGAGACACGGUCCAGACUCCUACGGGAGGCAGCAGUGGGGAAUAUUGCACAAUGGGCGAAAGCCUGAUGCAGCCAUGCCGCGUGUAUGAAGAAGGCCUUCGGGUUGUAAAGUACUUUCAGCGGGGAGGCGUUACCCGCAGAAGAAGCACCGGCUAACUCCGUGCCAGCAGCCGCGGUAAUAC